rnacentral:rRNA from 1 species
CGGGGGGAGCAAGCGUUGUUCGGAUUUACUGGGCGUAAAGGGCGCGUAGGCGGCGUGACAAGUCACUUGUGAAAUCUCCGGGCUUAACCCGGAGCGGCCAAGUGAUACUGUCGUGCUAGAGUGCGGAAGGGGCUACUGGAAUUCUCGGUGUAGCGGUGAAAUGCGUAGAUAUCGAGAGGAACACCUGCGGCGAAGGCGGGUAGCUGGGCCGACACUGACGCUGAGGCGCGAAAGCCAGGGGAGCGAACGGGAUUAGAUACCCCGGUAGUCCUGGCCUUAAACGAUGGAUACUUGGUGUCCGGGGUUACAUAGUCCCCGGGUGCCGGCGCUAACGCAUUAAGUAUCCCGCCUGGGGAGUACGGUCGCAAGACUG